rnacentral:sRNA from 1 species
AUGCAUGGGUGAUUUGGAUAUAUAUUUAUCAACUCUGAUCACCUGGAUUGCUUUGGCUGAUCUGGCUGGCUUGGGGGAUUUUCCAUUCCUCCCUUACUGUU